rnacentral:rRNA from 1 species
UCCUGGCUCAGAUUGAACGCUGGCGGCAGGCCUAACACAUGCAAGUCGAGCGGUAGAGAGGAGCUUGCUCCUCUUGAGAGCGGCGGACGGGUGAGUAAUGCCUAGGAAUCUGCCUGGUAGUGGGGGAUAACGUUCGGAAACGGACGCUAAUACCGCAUACGUCCUACGGGAGAAAGCAGGGGACCUUCGGGCCUUGCGCUAUCAGAUGAGCCUAGGUCGGAUUAGCUAGUUGGUGAGGUAAUGGCUCACCAAGGCGACGAUCCGUAACUGGUCUGAGAGGAUGAUCAGUCACACUGGAACUGAGACACGGUCCAGACUCCUACGGGAGGCAGCAGUGGGGAAUAUUGGACAAUGGGCGAAAGCCUGAUCCAGCCAUGCCGCGUGUGUGAAGAAGGUCUUCGGAUUGUAAAGCACUUUAAGUUGGGAGGAAGGGCAGUAAAUUAAUACUUUGCUGUUUUGACGUUACCGACAGAAUAAGCACCGGCUAACUCUGUGCCAGCAGCCGCGGUAAUACAGAGGGUGCAAGCGUUAAUCGGAAUUACUGGGCGUAAAGCGCGCGUAGGUGGUUUGUUAAGUUGGAUGUGAAAUCCCCGGGCUCAACCUGGGAACUGCAUUCAAAACUGACUGACUAGAGUAUGGUAGAGGGUGGUGGAAUUUCCUGUGUAGCGGUGAAAUGCGUAGAUAUAGGAAGGAACACCAGUGGCGAAGGCGACCACCUGGACUAAUACUGACACUGAGGUGCGAAAGCGUGGGGAGCAAAC